rnacentral:lncRNA from 1 species
GAAAAAAGUAAGAACUUUAUACAACAAGAAGUUACCAAAUGAAGAAAAAUCAGACAUAAGAACUUACCAAAACGCUCAGAAAAAUCCAGACGACUUCCUAGAAGUCCAGACGACUUCCUAGAAGUCCAGACGACUUCCUGGAAGUCCAGACGACUUCCUGGAAGUCCAGACGACUUCCUGGAAGUCCAGACGACUUUGUCAGAAGACUUCCAAGAAGUCCAGACGACUUCCAGACGACUUCCAGACAACUAACAGGUAAGUCGUCCGAGAAGUCUUCCAGAUCUGAAAAACCUGCACAUCAAAUCUAGAUCUGAAAA